rnacentral:lncRNA from 1 species
AUGGACGGCGGCAGCUUGUCCAUGGCGCGCGGGGCCGGCGCCCGGCCGCGGAGGGGGCGCGCGGGCUCAGGCGCCCAUGCCCGGGCGGGCGCGGGGCGGCGGGGCGGCUCCCGGCCGGGCUCCGGGCCCCCGCGCUCCGCCGCUGCCCCCGCCCGCGUCCGGGGGCGCGGCGCGCGGCCCGGCUCCAGGCGCCCCGCCCCCGCGGGGAACAAUGGGCGCAGCGGCCGCGGCGCCGGGGCAGCCGCUUGGAGAGCCGCUCCGGGGCGCAGGGCGCACGGCCCGCGCGCCUCCCCGCCGUGCGCCCCCCGGGCCCGCGCGCUGUCAGGCCGUCCCGCCGCCGCGGCCCUGCUGCCGGCCGCCCGCGAGCUCGCCUCGCCUGCCCUGGCCGAGCGCGGCCGGCCGGUCCCGGGGCCCCCUCCGCAGCCGCGCGGAGCGCCGCGGCCCGCCGGGCUUACAUCAGCGGCCGCCCUCCCCGGAGCGCCCUCCGGCAGCGCUGGGCUCCCGCGCCCCGGAAUAUUCAUGAAGCCGCCGCAGCUCGCGGGUUGCCAUAGGAGCGGCUCCCGCGGCCGGGCCUGCCUACCUGGGCUUCUUAAAGGAGCAGCGGCGCGCGGGCCGGGCCGGGCGGGGGGCGGGGGCCGGGGGCGGGCCCUGCGGGGGCGCGGGGGCGCGCGGGGGGCCCUCGCCGGACCCCGCGGGCGGCGCCGCGGGGCGUCCCGCGCCCUGCACCUCCAGCACCUUUCCUUGGCCGCGGCUGGGCGCGCGCCCCAAGUCUGGGAUCAGGGCUUGGGCUGCCGGCUCCCACCCCAAGGAGACUGGGCGGGGGGAAGGGGCGGGGGACGGGGUUUCCCGAGCUCUCCCCCAGCUCCGGGCGCGCCUUUCCCGCGGCGGCUUAGCUGCCCGGCCGAGUCCCCGGCCCACCUCUGGGGAGGCUGGCGGGCCGCCUGGGUGCGCAGCCCCGGCCCUUUCCGCCAGGCGCCCGGAGAGGGGGUUUCCAGGAAUCGCGCUGCCUCUGGGCAGCUCCCGGGGUUUCCCUGCGGCACGGUCGAGGGGCGAACCCCGCGCCGGCCUGGCCCCCCGCGGAGCCCGGCAACGAGGGAAAACUCCGGGAGGCGCCGGGCGCGCGGGUGA